AAUCGCCUAGGUGUCUAUUUUCGCAGCGAAGCAAGAGGAAAGCACCGCGCAUGUUUCUAUCGGAUCGAUACGAAUCGAUUUCCGAUAACAUUGAACAGCAGUUGGUCAGGAAACGGCUCGAAGGGCGGAUGGCGCGCCGCUAGUGAGGUGAUUCUCACUUUUAAGUGACGGGAUUGAGACAAAUUUUCGAUGGAAAUCAAAUAAUUAGAAGGAAAUUAAGCGUCAGCUAAUCCCAUCUACAAAACUAGAUAACCAAAGUUAAACAUGUCUUUGGACUUCUUCACAUAACAGAAGUGGAUAUUCCGGCGUGCCUGCCUUGUUUCAAUCCCGUAACUUAGUUAUUUAGUCACACAACGUGACUCUAUCACGUUGAUUAUGUACUACCUAGUUAGAUUGCUAGCCACUCUGUGAUGGUUUAUCCCUAGAGUGGGCUGUUUUUGUUGGAUAAUACACCAUACCGGAUUUUAUUACAACCAGCAUCUUCACCCAGGACCUUGCAGUAGGACUUACUCACCACAGCAGCCAACCAUUCUAUCGUGCCAAAAGGGAAUUUCCUACGGAAUUCAUCUCUAUGGACUUGCAACCCUACUUUUAACCGACUGUUGUGUAAAAGCUAAGUUUAUUUACUUUUUCAUUAUUUACUUUUGGGUAAGAUAUAUUUGCUACAUUGUAAACUUUUCGUAUGCAUACGAUUAGGAAGAGUACAUAUAUUUGCGUGAUAGAUAGGGUUUUAGGUCGUUGUUUUUUUUUUCUUUUUGAUUCAG
rnacentral:lncRNA from 1 species